CUGCGAAUGGCUCAUUAUUCAGUUAUAGUUUAAUUGGUGAAGGAUACUAAUUGGAUAACCGUAGUAAUUCUAGGGCUAAUACAUGAGUAAAGUCCCGUUGGGAUGUGUUUAUUAGAAUGAAAACCAUAUGCUUCGGCAUGAUAGUGAGUAAUAGUAACCUAUCGUAUCGCAUGCUUAAAGUAGCGAUGAGUCUUUCAAGUUUCUGCCCUAUCAGCUUUCGAUGGUAGCAUAUGGGUCUACCAUG
rnacentral:rRNA from 1 species